rnacentral:rRNA from 1 species
UACAGAGGUCUCAAGCGUUGUUCGGAUUCAUUGGGCGUAAAGGGUGCGUAGGUGGCGGGGCAAGUCUGGUGUGAAAUCCCGGGGCUCAACCCCGGAACUGCACUGGAUACUGCCUUGCUAGAGCACUGGAGAGGGAACUGGAAUUUACGGUGUAGCAGUGAAAUGCGUAGAUAUCGUAAGGAAGACCAGUGGCGAAGGCGGGUCUCUGGACAGUUCCUGACACUGAGGCACGAAGGCCAGGGGAGCAAACGGG